GCCAGCAUGGUGUAGUGGUUUGAAUGUUGGACUAGUACUCUGGAGAUCAGAGUUUGAAACUCUGUUUGGCC